GACGAACGCUGGCGGCGUGCUUAACACAUGCAAGUCGUACGGUAAGGCCCUUUCGGGGGUACACGAGUGGCGAACGGGUGAGUAACACGUGAGUAACCUGCCCACAACUUUGGGAUAACGCUAGGAAACUGGUGCUAAUACUGGAUAUGUGCUCCUGCUGCAUGGUGGGGGUUGGAAAGCUCCGGCGGUUGUGGAUGGACUCGCGGCCUAUCAGCUUGUUGGUGGGGUAGUGGCCUACCAAGGCGGCGACGGGUAGCCGGCCUGAGAGGGUGACCGGCCACAGUGGGACUGAGAUACGGCCCAGACUCCUACGGGAGGCAGCAGUGGGGAAUAUUGCACAAUGGGCGCAAGCCUGAUGCAGCAACGCCGCGUGCGGGAGGACGGCCUUCGGGUUGUAAACCGCUUUCAGCAGGGACGAAGCUUUUUGUGACGGUACCUGCAGAAGAAGCACCGGCUAACUACGUG
rnacentral:rRNA from 1 species